UACGUAGGGUGCAAGCGUUAAUCGGCAUUACUGGGCGUAAAGCGUGCGCAGGAGGUUUUGUAAGUCUGACGUGAAAUCCCCGGGCUCAACCUGGGAAUUGCGUUGGAGACUGCAAGGCUAGAAUCUGGCAGAGGGGGGUAGAAUUCCACGUGUAGCAGUGAAAUGCGUAGAGAUGUGGAGGAACACCGAUGGCGAAGGCAGCCCCCUGGGUCAAGAUUGACGCUCAUGCACGAAAGCGUGGGGAGCAAACAGG
rnacentral:rRNA from 1 species